GAGCCAUUAGCUCAGUAGGUAGAGCACAUGACUUUUAAUCAUGGUGUCACUGGUUCGAUUCCAGUAUGGCUCACCA
rnacentral:tRNA from 1 species